ACUUCCCAAAUCUGAAGUCACUUCUCUAAGGCAUUAUCUUAUGUGCUCUCUCUCACAAACUGUAUUAUGACAUAGGCUUGAAAUAAGGAUUGGAUCUAUGACUUCACUGAUAUAUGGAAUUUUCUGAUGAGUAAAUGCUCUCUGAUGAAGGUAAGCACUUUCUCAGAAAUGUAUAAAUUGAGAAGAUGGUCUAGAGCAGCAGUUCUCAACCUCUCACUUUGUAGCAAUGAGAAUACAUAAUGAAUAUCAGCAUAGCAGAGUAAAGAUAAUUCUGGACUUUAAGUCAGAAGAACCCUGGAUUCAAGUAUCAUUUUUGACAUUAUGGUGAAUAAUAACCUCCCUGAACCUUGGUUUUAUCAUCUGUAAAAGAGAAAUAUUACCACCAGGAUUUAUCUCACAAGGCUGUUUGGGGAAUCAGUUGCACAGGAAGUACCAUGAAGGCAGAGGAAUAAAAAGAGGAAGAAGAGGAAGAGGCACAGAGGAAAGAAGAGAGGAAGAAAAGAAAAGAAAGAAGGAAGAACAAAAAGAAAAGAAACAAAGGAGAGAAGGGAGAGAAGAACAACCAUUUGAUCAUUCUAUGGAACAUCCAGGUAGAGAACACAUCCAGAACAGAACUUUGAGAGGGCAGUCAGGUUAGAGGGUAGAACAAAGAUGAUGAUCCAAUUUUAAAAAGUCAUUAAAAGAACAGUGAAACAACUAAGAAAAGAAUCAGGAGAGAGUGGAAGAUAUGCAGGAACAAGAGGCGAUUAAGUGUAUCAAAAGCUGCAGUGAGGUUUAUUUAAAGGAUGAAAACUGAGAAGAAGCAUCAUAUUUAGCAAUUAAGAGAAUCUCAUAGAGUCAUUUCAGUCAAGUGGUAAGUUGAGAAGCCAGACUACAAGGGGCUAGGGAAGUAAAAAUGUAGAAAUAAUGAAUCUAGAAUCAAUAAAUAAGGUGAGAUUCAAGUUGAAAAGGAUAACAGAAGGAUAUGGAGUCAGGUAGAGAAUUGCCUGACCUUAGGAAAGAAGCAACUCUUCAUAAUAACCUGGAGCAAAGACAAUAGGGAAUGACAUCAAGGGUCUAGCCUAGAGUACAGAAUAGGGCAGAAGAGGAAAUUCAAAACAGCCUCUGGAGGUGUUUCAAGUACCAUCUCCUUCAAGAGACUUUUCCAGAGUCCUUGAAUAAUGCUCACUCCAAGUCACUUUAUAUUCAUAUUUGUACAUGUCCUGUAUUUACUAACCUGAGAACAUCUAUCCACCAUAGAGCAUAAGCUCCUUGAGAGCAAGAACUAUUUUAUCUUAUACUUGUAUCUCCAUUUCCUGGCACUACUUUUUGAUUUAAUGAUUGAAAGCAAAUUCUCUAAUACUUUUAGUCUUCACAUGAAGGCUAAAAGAUAUUUGCAACUGAAGUUGUAGACAGGAUUCUUGUUAUAACGAGAAUUGAAUAAGAUGUUCCCUGAAGUGACUUCAUACUCUAAUAUUCUGUGAUUCUAUGCGAGAACAGUAUGUAACAAGAGCUAAAAAACUUGCUCAUAUUGAGGGUAAGGAUAUGACUGCCCUUCAAGGCUUUUUUUUAAACCCUUACCUUUUGUCUUAGAAUCAAUACUAAUUGUCUCUUCCAAGUCAGAAGAUUGGUAAAGACUAGGAAAUGAGAUUAAGUGAUUUGCCCAGGGUCACAUAGCUAAGAAAUGUCUGAGGCCAGUUUUGAACUGAGGACCUCCUGUCCUUUAGGGGCUCUCUAUCCACUGGGCCACCCUGCUGCCUCUUCCUCAAGGCUUUUUGCAGGACACAAUGAGAAUAUCUAUUCUGUCUAUGAAAUUAAUACAUCUUUAUUUUUACUAACUUCUAACUGAAACUGGGCAUUUUCUUCAAUUUUGAAUGCAAACAACAAAACAUUAUUUUGAGGAGGAGUGCAUCAAGUUUCAGCAGACUGCCAUAACACACAUUUUUUAAAUGAGUUGGGCAACUAGGAAACACAAAUCUGGCUUCAGAUACUUUCUAGCUGUGUGACCCUGUGCAAUUCACUUAACUCCCAAUUGCCUAGCCCUUACUAUUCUUUUGCCUUGGAACCAAUUCUUAUUAUUGAUUCUAUGAUGGAAGGAAAAGGUUUUAAAAAAAAUCACUGGCCUAUGAGCAGGAUCAUCUGCCUUUAGUUUUUCACCUAUAAACAAAAACUGUUUGGAAAGUUAAGGUCCUCUUCAAUCCCAAUACAACAACAAUUUAUAAAGAAUAUUAUUCCCUCUCUUAGUGUUAUAAACACAUUAUCCUGAAAUGAUCAUAAAUCCCAUGAUCCUGCUGAAAAGUUAAUGUAACCCUGCAGGGAGCAGCUGGAUAGCUCAGUAGAUUGAGAGCCAGGCCUAGAGAUAGGGGAGGUCCUAGGUGCAAAUCUGACCUUAGACACUUCCUAGCUGAGUGACCCUAGGCAAGUCACUUAAACCCCACUACCUAGCCCUUACCACUCUUCUGCCUUAGAACCAAUACACAGUAUUGAUUCUAAGAUGGAAGGCAAGGGUUUAAAUAUGUGUAUAUAUGUUUAAAUAUAUGUAUAUAUAAAAAACACUGCAUCUCAUACUUUUUUUUAACCAUAUAUUGAUUCCAAGACAGAAGAAUGAUAAGAUCUUGGCACUGGAGGUUAGAUGACUUGCCCAGAAUCACAUAGCUAAGAAGAAUCUUAGGGCAAAUUUGAACCCAAGAUUUCCUGUCUUUCAAUCCAUUGAGCUACCUAGCAGCUCCCUGCAGCACACUCUCUUUAGAUACAGUAUCUAAAGCCAUCUUCCAAUAGUUCCUUGUCCUCUUAAUUUUGAACAGUAUCAAAGAAAAUAGCUUUCUUAAAGCAACAAAUUAACUUUAAGAUCUCAAAACUUUUUACAUCUGAUAUCCCAAAUUUAAAUUAUACUGCUUCAUACUUGUAAAUAAGUCAUAAAGUCAUACAAUUUUCAAGUUUUUUUAAGAAGUAAUCUAAUCCAACAUCAUCAUUCCCAAAUGGAGAAACUGAGACUCAAAGAGUACUCAAAGAGACCAAAUGACUUGCCCAGGGUAAGUGGCAGUCAGAAUUAGUAACCAAGUCUUUAGGCUUUUAGCUCUCUAUACUUUUUCACUAUGCCAAAAAUGUGUCCAAUGAAAGGACCAAUAUCCACAAGUGCUUCCUCCCCCCAACCAACAUAAGCUAGGAAAAGGUAACAAAGCCAAGGGCUUGAAAGGACCCAUGGACCUUAAGGGCAAGCUGUGUUGCCUUAAAGGGCAGCUGGGCAUACGUGUGUGUGUGGGGGGGGAGGGUGGGUGUGUGUGUAUGUGGGUGUGUUGUGUAGUCUGUUCUUAUUGAAGUUGCUUCCUGGUCACCUACAGACAAAAAAGGUACUACUCAAGUGGGGUCAGGGCCAUUGAAGUAUGAAGGACAACAAGCAAUGCUUUAUAUAUGUUACCUCAUUUGACUCUUGUAAGAAUUCUAUGAGGCAGGUGCUAUUAUUGUCCUCAUUUUACAGAUGAGGAAACUGAAGCACAGAGUGAUUUGUCCAGGAUCAUAGAGUUAUUUUUAAAGUGUCUGAGGUAAAAUUCAAAUUAUGGUCUUCCUGGCUUCAAGUCCCAUCUUCUAUUCACUGUACCACCUAGCUACCCCCACUGUAAACAUAAGCUCCUUGAGAGCGGGAAUCUAUCUUUCUUUUUUAUCCCCAGUGCUUGGUAGAGUGCCUGGCAUGUGUUUAAAAAAUGCUUGUUGAUAUAAAAACCAACAUUAUAAUCAAAUAAUGUUAGACAUGGUUCUUAUGAAAUAAUACUUUUAAAUGAUUUUUUAUCAAGUGUCUUUUAAUGGUAUAAUCAAUACAUUCAAACUGGCAUUCAAAACAUCUAUCUUAAUUUUAAUUUAAAUUGAUUAUUCCACCAUUUCAAGUUAUUUAUAUCAUACUAUUUUUUAAAUUUAAAAAAUCUCCCACCUUCCAUCUUAUAACCAAUACUGGUUCUAAGGCAGAAAAGUGAUAUGGGAUAGGCAAUGGAGGCUGAGUGACAUGCCCAGGAUCAAAAAGCUAAAAAAUGUCUAAGACCAAAUUUGAACCCAGUAUGUUCUUAAUACACCGAGCCACCUCAAUCUUCUCCAUACCACAUUCUCGUAAUUCAAUCUUAAAUAAGGGUAUUUCUUAAAUUAAAAAAAAAAAAAGCAAAUCUAAAAACAAGUAUGAUUACUUAAAAUGUAAACCUAAGUUUUUCCACAUUAACACAGAAAAAUAAGUAUUGAACAUUUGAUCAGAUUCUCCCUAGGCCUAAGUUGUUAUAACAACUAUUUGCAUAUCUAGAGUGAGUUAAGGUUAAUAAUAUGUUACAGUUAAAGAAUUGCUUAUAACUGCACUCUUUAGUUAUAAUAUAGCAGUAAUUCAUUAAAACAAUGUUUCUUAUGGAAUACUUGUUAGUAAAUUUAAGAGGCAAGGUUUUCAAGUAGCAAGAUAUCAAGAGGUAAGGUAAAAUGUGAGGCUAAUUGGAAGUGGUCCCAAACACAGAAAAAAUGAUCCAGAAUCCAGACAAGAUUUGGAGGUGGAUUAAGGCUGGAAGGGCAGCAAAGAUAUGAUCUGGCUUAAAAAGUCUCAGAAUUUGAAGAGGCUACUAGCAUGGUCUUCAAUUGCUCAGUGAGGCCAUAAGGUUCAAAGUAGUCAAAUGGAGGGAUAGACUAUUGUUUGUUUCUUUUUUGCAUCCUCAGCACUUAACACAGUGUGCCUGGAACACAGUAGGUACUUAACAAAUAUCUACUGACAUUAACUCCACUGUAGUUCCAGAAAAAGCCUGAGUCUCAGGAAAGUUGGCUCACACCAGUAUAUUCCACAUCACAAAAGACAUAGAAUAAGCCAUGCUGUGUAAAGUCAUCUUGUCUAUGUAUGCCUUCUGUUCAACCUUCAAAAUCUACAAAGCAAAAUAAGUUAACCAUCUCUACUAUACACUUCUCCAUAAGAAACCACCUGUCAGCACAGACCAAUUUUUCCAACCUUAGGCAUAUUUGCCUAUUGCAAUAUUAGUAAAGAUUUGUUCACAUUUUUAAAUGACAGGAGUAUGAAAGAUAAGACUUCAUAAUUCUAUGAAUCAAUAAAAAAGACAUUAAAAAGAACUUGUUUGUAAAAUUAAAAAUCAACAAUAAAGCAGCUAUGCAGGAACAACAAUUUGAAAAUAAUAGGCCAGAAUCCUAGAUAAGAAAUAAAUCACAAUGCUAGCAUGACAAAAAAAAAUUACUAUAUUUGAUUAGGUCCAAAUUCUCUUCUAAUUGUGCUUGGAAAAGCAAAAGGAACAAAAAAACAAACAGGCGGGGAGUGGCAGCUGGGUUGCUCAGUGGAUUGAGAACCAGGCCUAGAGACAGGAGGUCCUAGGUUCAAAUCUAGCCCCAGACCCUUCCCAGCUGUGUGACCCUGGUCAAGUCACUUAACCUCCAUUGCCUAUCUUUCACCACUCUUCUGUCUUGGAACCAUAUACAGUAUUGAUUCUAAGGCAAAAGGUAAGGGUUUAAAAAAAAGAUGAAAACAAACAAAAAACCAGCCCUUUCUCAAUGCUAUAAUUCCCUUGACAGUCAAAGGUUAGGUCAGUGAAGUUUAUAAUCUCUAAUAUACAAAAGGGAAGAAUCAUCUUUAAAAUGAAUUUGACAUUCCCCCCUCCCUCAACAUCUUAAAAUGAGAACCCAUCCAUUCUAAGUUAUUUCUAAAAUAAAUUCCCCAUCCUGGACAUCUUCCCAUAAUUUUUUUAAUAUUUCCUAAAUUAAACUGAUUUUUUUUAUAUGUUUCUAUCCCUUCUAAAAAAAGUAAGAGGCCUGGUAUAUAUUUGAUAUUUAAUUCUCCUUAAAAAUUGAUUAAUAUAUAUUCAUAUAAUUAACCCUAUCUUUAAAGCUAUGUUUUUCUUGAAGCCCAAAAUCAAAGGAAUUUUAAUCAAGAUCUCAACAUCACCACCACCCCAAUCACAGCUCCAUGAAAUAUGGAAGUGCUAAUAAUACAUCAACAAGUGCCUACUAUCUAACUCAGCACUAUUCUAAGCACUGAUAAAAGAUUUUGGAGUUGGAAGGGAUGUUAACUAUGCCACACAACACAUUUAAGAAAAUCAUACAGAGUGUAAUCUUCCAAAAUAUGAAUAUAUAUUUUCAGUUAACCAAAAAUGAAGAUGAACUCUUUUACAUUAUAAACAUCCCAUUAUUAAAGCAAGUUUAUGGAAAGCAAAAGAAUCCUAAAAUAUAAAAAAAGUUUUCUACAUUUUUUUGUUCCUAAAUCUAAUGGUUUGUUUUGUUUUGACCUGAAAUGGAUGAGUAAUAUUUAUGCGAUGCUCCACACAGAACAAUUGUUCAUUCAGAGCUCUGUUCAUUGUGCAAACCAGUAUUUAGUAUAUCUAAAAUGUGGACUCUGUAAAUAUUAGAAGGCAAUGGCCAUUUCAAGGGACUUAUUUAUCAAAUAAGUACUUUUUAAAAAAAUGCUAUCACAUUUACAUCAUGACAGAAUUAAACGUU